AGCAGCCGCGGUAAUUCCGGCUCCAAUAGCGUAUAUUAAAGUUGUUGCAGUUAAAAAGCUCGUAGUUGAAUUUCGGGAUCAAGGAAUCGGUCAUGCCUUGGUAUGUACUGGUUUUAUUGGUUCUCACCUUCUAAAGAACCAUAAUGUCAUUUAUUUGAUGUUAUGGGGAAUUAGGACUGUUACCUUGAAAAAAUUAGAGUGUUUAAAGCAAGCUUACGCUUGAAUACAUUAGCAUGGAAUAAUGAAAUAGGACAUCAGAUUCUAUUUUGUUGGUUUCUAGGAUCGAUGUAAUGAUUAAUAGGGAUAGUUGGGGGCAUUAGUAUUCAAUUGUCAGAGGUGAAAUUCUUGGAUUUAUUGAAGACUAACUACUGCGAAAGCAUUUGCCAAGGAUGUUUUCAUUAAUCAAGAACGAAAGUUAGGGGAUCGAAGACGAUCAGAUACCGUCGUAGUCUUAACCAUAAACUAUGCCGACUAGGGAUCGGAUGAUGUUAAUUUUUAAUGACUCAUUCGGCUAACCG
rnacentral:rRNA from 1 species